rnacentral:rRNA from 1 species
UACGUAGGGGGCAAGCGUUGUCCGGAAUUAUUGGGCGUAAAGAGCUCGUAGGCGGUUUGUCGCGUCUGCUGUGAAAACUCGGGGCUUAACUCCGGGCCUGCAGUGGGUACGGGCAGACUAGAGUGCGGUAGGGGUGACUGGAAUUCCUGGUGUAGCGGUGGAAUGCGCAGAUAUCAGGAGGAACACCGAUGGCGAAGGCAGGUCACUGGGCCGCAACUGACGCUGAGGAGCGAAAGCAUGGGGAGCGAACAGG